UCCCUGGUGGCUCAGACGGUAAAGCAUCUGUCAGCAAUGCAGGAGACCCGGGUUUGAUCCCUGGUUUGGGGA
rnacentral:tRNA from 1 species